AGGGCGGUAGCUCAGUCGGUCAGAGCAGAGGACUCAUAAUCCUUGGGUCGUGGGUUCGAGCCCCACCCGCCCUA
rnacentral:tRNA from 1 species